rnacentral:rRNA from 1 species
UACGUAGGGGGCAAGCGUUGUCCGGAAUCAUUGGGCGUAAAGCGCGUGUAGGCGGCUCGGUAAGUCUGCUGUGAAAGUCCAGGGCUCAACCCUGGGAUGCCGGUGGAUACUGUCGAGCUCGAGUCCGGAAGAGGCGAGUGGAAUUCCUGGUGUAGCGGUGAAAUGCGCAGAUAUCAGGAGGAACACCAAUGGCGGAAGGCAGCUCGCUGGGACGUGACUGACGCUGAGACACGAAGGCCAGGGGAGCAAACGGG